rnacentral:rRNA from 1 species
AAGGGCCAUCGCUCAACGGAUAAAAGGUACUCCGGGGAUAACAGGCUGAUACCGCCCAAGAGUUCAUAUCGACGGCGGUGUUUGGCACCUCGAUGUCGGCUCAUCACAUCCUGGGGCUGAAGUAGGUCCCAAGGGUAUGGCUGUUCGCCAUUUAAAGUGGUACGCGAGCUGGGUUUAGAACGUCGUGAGACAGUUCGGUCCCUAUCUGCCGUGGGCGCUGGAGAACUGAGGGGGGCUGCUCCUAGUACGAGAGGACCGGAGUGGACGCAUCACUGGUGUUCGGGUUGUCAUGCCAAUGGCACUGCCCGGUAGCUAAAUGCGGAAGAGAUAAGUGCUGAAAGCAUCUAAGCACGAAACUUGCCCCGAGAUGAGUUCUCCCUGAGACUUUAGGUCUCCUGAAGGAACGUUGAAGACGACGACGUUGAUAGGCCGGGUGUGUAAGCGCAGCGAUGCGUUGAGCUAACCGGUACUAAUGAACCGUGAGGCUUAACCUUACA